UACGGGGAGACCUAAAUCGUGACUUGAUUUUCCCUUUGAUUAGAAGGCGAAACUAGCGUGCUAAGGCUAUCGAGUAGCCACACUCGCUCGUUUCCCUUAUCGGAAGGGGACACUCAAGCAAAAUGAACCCUAUAGCUAGUAUGGGAUGCAAAACCUAAAGUGAGGGGAAAAGGGGGUCGAGGAUCAUGCCAAAUGAUAAAACUAAGGAAAAUGCGUGAUAUGUAGUGAACAAACAAAUAAUGCAUUAAUGAAAAACAAAGGAAAAAUCCUAUUGGGUCUAGCGUUGGACUAGCCCUUUCUAUGAAUUCCUAAUGAAAAUAAUGAGCCACAACUAGCGUUGGACUAGUGUGGUGACGUACAUUCAUCCAUUCCAUUCAUUCAUGGUUAUGAAAGCAAGUAGUCAUGCCAAAACGCUCGUAAACACAUAGCAAGUAGCACUUAGCAUGCUCGACUAGAUGCAAGAGCCUACUAAAGCAAUUUAACAUGUAACAAUAAAAGCAAGCAACCAGGGGGGAAGGGGAAGUGGACCAGAUGCUCUCCGAGCCCUAUCUAUUACAAGCCAAGAGGUGUACACAUACCCCAUGAAAGCAUAAAGGGAAAGGGGAAAUGGACCAGAUGCUCUCCGAGCCCUAUCUAUUACAAGCCAAGAGGUGUACACAUACCCCAUAAAAGCAUAAAGGGGAAAGGGAAAUGGACCAGAUGCUCUUCGAGCCCUAUCUAUUACAAGCCAAGAGGUGUACACAUACCCCAUAAAACUUAAAUAAAAGUAAAAAGCAAGUAAAUACAUGCAAGGAGGUAAGGAAAGCGAAGUAGACAUGCAUAUUCACAUAACACGUAGGGGCACGUAAGGUCAAAUGUAGUGCAAAUGAGGGAUAGAGUGUACCUCCCUCGAAUUGACGCCCCAAUGAGGUGGGAUUAUUCAAUUACCCUCCAAAAUAAUAAAAAGGUCAAGGCACCACUUUAUUUAAGAAAAAUUAAAAGAAAUGGGCAAAACAAAGCUCACUUAGCCAUAAAGUCCCUAAAGUCAUGAAUUGAAUGCAAUUGAAUCAAAGCAUAAUAAUUAAUUAAAACAAACGAGCAAUGAAGUUGUAGAAUUAAAAUUGUCAAGGACCAAAUUGAGGAAAUUAUUCAAUUGGUUGGGUCAUAGUGAAA
rnacentral:lncRNA from 1 species